AGGAUAACGCACGGAAACGUGAGCUAAAACCAGAUAGGCAUUUUUCCACGCAUGAGGGAGAUGAGAAAGGCGGAGCAAUCUGCCGCUUAUGGAUGGACCUGCGUCGCAUUAGCUAGUUGGAGUGGUAAGGCACACCAAGGCGACGAUGCGUAGCCGACCUGAGAGGGUGAGCGGCCACACUGGGACUGAGACACGGCCCAGACUCCUACGGGAGGCAGCAGUAGGGAAUCUUCCGCAAUGGACGAAAGUCUGACGGAGCAACGCCGCGUGAGUGAAGAAGGUUUUCGGAUCGUAAAGCUCUGUUGCCAGGGAAGAAGAGCAAGGAGAGGAACUGCUCCUUGAGUGACGGUACCUGAGAAGAAAGCCCCGGCUAACUACGUG
rnacentral:rRNA from 1 species